rnacentral:rRNA from 1 species
UACGUAGGGUGCGAGCGUUUGUCCGGAAUUACUGGGCGUAAAGAGCUCGUAGGUGGUUUGUCGCGUUGUUCGUGAAAACUCACAACUCAAUUGUGGGCGUGCGGGCGAUACGGGCAGACUGGAGUACUGCAGGGGAGACUGGAAUUCCUGGUGUAGCGGUGGAAUGCGCAGAUAUCAGGAGGAACACCGGUGGCGAAGGCGGG